rnacentral:misc_RNA from 1 species
AAGUCGUAACAAGGUUUCCGUAGGUGAACCUGCGGAAGGAUCAUUAAAAAUAUAAACUAUAUAAAAUAUUAUAUAUAAAUAUUUUUAUUUAUUAUAAUAGAAAAAUAUAAAAGAUUUAUAUAAAUUUAUUUUUAUAUAAAAAUUUUAUAUUUUUCGGUGAGAAUGAUAACUCUCACCAUUAAAAAAUUAAUAGUGUCAUAAAAAAAUUAUAAUAUAAAAUUUUUAAAAUUAAUAUUGUCUAUGAAUUAUUUUUAUUUUAAUAAAUAAAAUAUAACUUUUAACAAUGGAUCUCUUGGCUCUUA